CCUUCAUAGCCACGACUCCCAAAUCCAGAAAAAUACUUCCUUAUUAAAUGUAUGUACGCAGUACCCACUGACAGCACUGACUGAUCUGAACUACAAAGCAACCUGCAUUAAAAGGAGAGUACACCCAGGUAGACAAAUAGUAUGGAUAUCACAACCUUUGUAGCCAAAGAAAGUUGGUGCUGUGAACCUAUAGCCUGUAUUCCCCUGCAUAUUACUUGCCCAGGGUAUAAUUACCCCUCAGCCCCUUGUCAGUCUCCCUUGCUGCCAGGGAAACUGGCAUUGACAUGGAUAACCAACAUAGUCUUAAAUUAGA